ACUUUGAACCGUUGUUUUGACAGAAAGUCAUCGAUACUCCAUGAAAACACUGACGCAGCACCUCAAACAAGCACCAGUAUCAGACCAGGGAACUUGUGGGCUUCUUCAGAAGCUUGGUGCAGAUAUUUUAUCGGAGAACGAAGAUGGAGUGAGGUUGACACCAGCCUCACUUCAGCUCGGCCCAGAGACCGAAGCAGCUACAAGCCCUGGAGCAACAAGGCCUCUGUCCCAGAUAAACACCCCAACCUGCUCAAGUGUCUGGCCUGCUUCAAGCCUGACAGGCCAAGCACCAGCAUGGGAGAAGACCCUCUUACUGGAACUCACUGUUUUCAGACCCUUAAUACGUAUUAGCAGGUUUUUGUGUCUUAUCAGAGGGCCUGGAGAAGCAGGCAGCUGAUGGUUCACAGUAUCCACUGGAUGUAAAUGUGAUAUACUGGUUUAACUGGGUGUCUGAAUCAGAAAGAUUAACCUUUCCAAGUUUCCUUUAUACAACUUUGAUUAUAAAUGUAGAAAAUAUUGGUUCAGUCCU